CACUUAAUCCAAAAUACCGACAGAGCUUCCACUAGGCACCCAAGUGUUUGCCCUCCAACGGUGAUCCACACAGGGCCUUGGUCAAGACUCUUGCUCCUUAACUUGGUGCCUCCCACUAAAUUCUUUCUCCAAGAAUUCUUUGGGCAGCACAACUUCUAGGCCUUUCCUUCCUCUCCUCCUAGUCUUCUUAUCUCUACCUUUCUUUCCUCCUUGCCUUUCCUAAUUCUCUUCCUAGGCCCUUGCUCUAAAAUCAGAUUUAUCCUUACUAUUUUAGGACUUUUCCUAACA
rnacentral:lncRNA from 1 species